GACGAACGCUGGCGGCGUGCUUAACACAUGCAAGUCGAACGGAAAGGCCCUGCGUUUGUGGGGUGCUCGAGUGGCGAACGGGUGAGUAACACGUGAGUAACCUGCCCUUGACUGUGGGAUAACUUCAGGAAACUGGGGCUAAUACCGGAUAGGAGCUCCUGCUGCAUGGGGGGGGUUGGAAAGUUUCGGCGGUUGGGGAUGGACUCGCGGCUUAUCAGCUGGUUGGUGGGGUAGUGGCUUACCAAGGCUUUGACGGGUAGCCGGCCUGAGAGGGUGACCGGCCACAUGGGGACUGCGAUACGGCCCAGAAUCCUACGGGAGGCAGCAGUGGGGAAUAUUGCAGAAUGGGCGGAAGCCUGAUGCAGCAACGCCGCGUGCGGGAUGACGGCCUUCGGGUUGUAAACCGCUUUCGCCUGUGACGAAGCGUGAGUGACGGUAAUGGGUAAAGAAGCACCGGCUAACUACGUG
rnacentral:rRNA from 1 species